UAUGUCUUUCGAUUCUCUUAUUUUUCAUAGAUCUGUCACCUGUUGUUGUCAUACUGUUGAUUUGUAGUUCAUGAAUCUUCAGUACAUAUAUCGCAUACUGAUAGGAAGUGCUCCUUGUUAUGUUUAAGGAGAAGUGAAGUAGAUGCAGGCAUACAGUGGAGCUGCAAUAAUGGGUGUUGAUGUACAACAACCCAAUCUUUUUACUAAAGGUUCUUCAAAUUUUUUUUCCAAGUUGGGUACUACUACUGAGGAUAGAUUACCUUCUCAAGUUAGGCAGACCCUGAAGUACGUUCAAUAAUUGAUAGUGAGAAGAUUCGUCAGUUUAACAUCUUGGAGCUCAUUGCUUCAGAGAAUUUUACAUCUCGCGCAGUGAUGGAAGCUGUGGGUUCUUGUCUCACAAACAAGUAUUCAGAAGGGCUUUCUGGUAAAAGGUAAAGAUGGUGCUUAAUGUUGUAUUUUUUCCCUGUAUUUGUAUUGAAAUGCAUUUGAUCAUUUCAUUCUGCAAUGUAAGUAUUAUGGUGGCAAUGAGUACAUUGAUGAGCAAGAGACACUUUUUCAACAAAGGGCUUUGUUCAUGUAACUGGCACAGGGUCUGGAUCUUCCUCAUGGAGGUCACUUGUCACAUGGAUUUAUGACUCCUAAAAGACGGGUAUCUGGGACUUCGAUUUAUUUUGAAUCGAUGCCCUACCGUCUUGAUGAAUCAACAGGCCUUAUUGAUUAUGAUAUGCUUGAGAAAACUGCGACCCUCUUUCGACCAAAACUCAUCAUUGUUGGUGCUAGUGCUUAUCCUCGUGAUUUCGAUUAUCCUCGAAUGAGAAAGAUUCUGUUGGGGCUUUUCUCAUGAUGGAUAUGGCUC